rnacentral:lncRNA from 1 species
ACUUUUUUACUUUAUUUAUAUAUUCAAAAAAAAAAAAAAACACAAUUUAACAUUUAUAAUAUUAUAAUUUUUUACUUACUUUAUUUAUAUAAUCGAAAAAAAAACACAAUUUUGCAUUUAUAAUAUUAUACUUUUUUUACUUUAUUUAUAUAAUCGAAAAAAAACAGAAUUUAACACAAUGGCAGAAGGAAAUCCAUUAGCAAAUGCAAAUGUACCACUAAAUUUGAGUGAUACACAAAAUCUGAGCAAUGGCGAAUCCUCUGUAAUGCAACUUGCGAGAAGCAUUUUAAACACACCUCUAAAUACUACUAGUAAUGAAGAAUUGAACCACGGAAAUAUGACGGUUUUUUUUUUAUUUUUGGCAGUUCUUAUAAUUUUUAUGUAUACAUAUCUAAUUGUUUUACGUUGCCUAGAUCGAUUUUUUUAUGGAGUAAGAUAAUUAAAAAAUUUAAAAACAUAAUUAUAUAUUACAUUUAUAUAUAGUUGCACAAAAAUAAAUAAGUGUUAAUAAAAAUGUGCA